UACGUAGGUGGCGAGCGUUAUCCGGAAUGAUUGGGCGUAAAGGGUGCGCAGGCGGUCCUGCAAGUCUGGAGUGAAACGUAUGAGCUCAACUCAUGCAUGGCUCUGGAAACUGGGAGACUUGAGUGCAGAAGAGGAGAGUGGAACUCCAUGUGUAGCGGUGAAAUGCGUAGAUAUAUGGAAGAACACCAGUGGCGAAGGCGGCCGCCUGGCCUGUUGCUGACGCUGAGGCACGAAAGCGUGGGGAGCAAAUAGG
rnacentral:rRNA from 1 species